CCAAUACUUUUCCGAUGUUUUUUAUUGCUUUCUUUCGAGGUCCUUUUAAUUUAUCAAUGUCUUUUAUCUUUUUCACAGCUUAGCUUUAUUAUUUGGUAUAACCGCAGGUUGUAUACAUUUCAAUUGUCUGACAAUUUAACAUACAAAAGAGUAGGAAAAAGCAAGUUUUUUCGGGUAUGAACUUUUUAACUUCCGCGUCACUACAACAAAAAUGUGCUUUCCUGACACAAUUAAAUGUCUCAAUAUAUAACAUUUCGGGACACUUAUACUUCUAGGGACAUAUAAAAUAUAUGUCGCGUAGUUGUGUGUCGCAAUAGCGUUUGGGGCAUUUAUUAAAUGUCCCUAUAAAGUUUUCUUUUACAGACACUUACAUAUAUCCUAAAAGAUUGCUUUUGAGACACAAAUAUAUACCCUAUUUUAAUCUCACUAUUUUGAUUAAUCAUCCUUUUGAGGCACUUAUUUUGAUAUAUAUAUUUCUAAAAUUUAAUAUUAAUUAUAAUAUUUAUAUUUGAAUCGUAUUGUAAAAAUAACACUUUAAGAAAUACAUACAACAUAUAAAUUUGAAUAAAAAAAACCAAACAUUACAUGAAUACUCUCAAAAUCAUUAAUCAAAAUUUGAGUGCCUCUCAUCCAUAAAGUCGACAGAUACUACUGCAAGGAAUCCUACACAUACUACUACAAGGAAUCCUUCAAGACAAGCAACAUGAUCUCAUAGGACUCGAAAUAUGAAUUUUCAAUAUCCAAACUAAUUGUUCUACUAGUCUAACACUAGAAAAUAAAAAAAUAUAAAAUCCAGCUCCCACCAUAUUCUAGAUUGCAUCAACCAUGAAAUUCAUCUUUCAAAACAAAGGAACCUGCAAGUACAAAAAAAUAUACAUCAAUUAAUAAACAAAAAUUAAUGUACAAGAACAUUUCUGCCAAGUGAACAUUUGAAAAUACAAAAUAACAUAAGAUCUCUCUAAAAGAGUACUACUCUUUAGUAAGAGCCAGAAACAGAAGAUAAACUUCAAAAAUACAUACUCACGUACAUCAAAUAAAAACCCAAGAUAACAACAAAUAAUUUGAACUGCUUCAGAAGACUGAUAGAAUGAUUCAUAUCCAACAAUAUAAAGUAGAAUUCUUAACCAUUUAAACUGUAACUUCAUCAACUUGUCAUGUUCGACUCCUUCAAUUAAUCCAACAAUAUAAAGCAAUACUCUUGACCAUUUAAAAAUCAAACUUUAUCAAUUUGCUUACUUCUACUCCUCCAAGUAAUAAAUAAAUAUACACGAUCAACUCAUAUAGGCCGGUCAAACAAAUAAAUCAAAAUGUUCUAUUUAGCUUUGUUGAAAUUCAAUGGUCAAUGAGCAAGAGUAAAAAAACAAACGGUUACUCUUUUCAUUUUUAUUCUCCAAAAAAAUUAAUAUUCUCUAAGUAUCAACAACUAAUAACCAAAUAUGACGGCCAGAACCACCAAAAGUUGAUGAUUAACGAGAAAAAUACAAUUUACAGAUAAUAAGGAAAAAAGAAAACAUCACAAUGAAAGAGGGCAAUCCAAUAUACACUCUACGAUUACAUGAAUAUAAUCGUAGGGGGAAUCAUUGAAGUGUUUUUUUACCUACCAUCAAGAAUCUCAAUUCAUUAAGUCCUCAGAAACAUAAACACGUUAUAGAAGACAAGAAAAAAAAACAUACCAAUGAAAAGGCUAAUCGAUAUAUACUUCAAGACCCUUUAAAUUUCUCUUGCCUCGUUUUCACUCGGUAGUGAGAUUCAAUACCUUCUGGUAAAAAUAAAAAAGAUAACUAGAGAGAUAAGCAUAAGGCAAACAUAAACUAUAAUUUAUUCCCGUGUUUCUAGUUUAAAUCAGAGCCCUCGAGAAUUAUUCUUGCAUGAAAUAUAAUAUAAAAUAUAAAGAAAAUGUGCAAGCUAAGUUCAACAAAAAAUUAAGUAACAUUAAAUGAUAAAUAGUCCUUGAGGGCCCUAAACACAAAAACGAAAUAUUAGGCUUACAAAGAACUAUAAUCGAAAGAAAAAACUACCUGAAAACUUAUCGACAUUGGCUAUCUUUAAAGCCAUAGGUAAUUAUCGACAUGGUGCUUUUACUUGUAGAAAACCUGACCUUAGUACCGUCAAAAUUAUAAGAACAUAGAAAUCAAAACACACAUUCAUACAAUACGGAGGGUUGCAGGCAAUGAGAAAAUUGAGUGUUUCUAAAUUCCCAAUGUAUAGAAUACAUUUUCCUGCUUAAUGACACAGAUAUAUAUUAAGACAAAGAAAUAGAAUUACAUUAGAAGCAGAGACAUUCUUUGUUGGUGGCAGAAGAGAACAAAUCAUAAAAUUCUAAUUCUUUUCUAAACAUUCAUCACAAACUAGUAUUUUGCUAAAAUUGUUUCACUUAUUCAGCAUGAACAAAUUAAAAUUGCUAAAUUCCAAUUUAAAACAUAUAAAAUUUUAAUAUAUUUAAUGUAAUACAGUUUCUCCUCCUCCCACAAUUACCAUGUCCCAUGUCGAACAACCACGAGGAUAAAUAGCCAACAUAUCCAUAUUGAACUAUUUAUCACCAUAAAUUAGGGGUUUAGGGUUUCGAUUUCAAUUAUUAGGAUGAAAAGAGUUCGUAAGGAUGGGCGUUAAUCCAUUACCGUAACAAAGGGAAUUGAUCGGAUUACCUUCGAACAAAGGGCUUUUUUCUUCUUCUGCACCGUUGCUUCCUCUGUGCCGUUGCUCGAAGAAAAACCACAGAGUAGGUUUUUUCUCUAACAUCAGAGUUUGAGUUGGGAACUCGAUCGGCUGGGGUGAAAAUAAUAAAUAGAAACAGAAAAUUCUUUAUUUAUUAUUUAUUUAUUUAUUUUGCUUAAGUGUCCCUAUAUAUUUUAGAAAUAAGAAAAAAAUUAAAUGUCCCAAUAAAUUAUACUCAAGGCAUUUAUAAAAAUAUGCCUCUAAAAGUUAAAUGUCCUUAUAUGUUUUAUAAGUACGAAAAUUUUGUAAAUGUCCAUACAAAUUAUUCUUGAGGCAUUUAUAAAAAAAUGUCCCCAACCAAGUGUCGCAACAUCUACAUUUUGUUGUAGUGCGUGUUUUUUAAAAGCAGUAGCGAAAAGCAAUAGGGUUCUUAUUUUCAAUUAUUUCUUCAUAUAAGAUAUGAAAGUGUGUGCGCUAAUGUGUUUCGUGCAAUGCAAUUUAUAUGUGUGUGAUGUACUGUGUUUAUGUUUGUGUUUGUAUUUCGUAAGGGCAGAUUUUAUAAAUGCAUCUCAUUGGAUUUUUUUCUGAUUUCUUUAAGCAGUUAGUAAUUCUGGAUUUUAGAUUCAUAAUUUUUUUUACUGUAUUUUAGAUUUUUUUUUACCGCAUUUUAGAGUAUUACUGAUAGUCUUUUUAAGUGUUUUGCUGCAGUUAGGUGAUUCUAUUCUGUCGGCCACAUUCAUAUCCGUAGUAGGAUUGUUAAGUUGGCUUCAGUAUGCUGUCUUAUAGGUUCUUUAAUUGAUAGUCAAGUGUUUUGGUUAUGCCAUCUUAUGUUUGUUACUACCCUACCCCUUUCCAGCAUUACACAAACACACACUAUUUUCCUUCAAAUACUAUUAGUUAUAUUUUUUGUUGCUUUUCUUGCAGAUGAUAAUAUUGGCCGAUUUACCAAAAUUCUCCCCCAUAUAAGGUUAGUGGAUCGACCAUGCACUAUAUUUACGACUUUAUGUUCUUCCAAAAAUCAGGGUCUUAUAAUGAUUAUCGAUCGAUGGGAGCUUUAUGGUUUUUCAGGUCUCCGAAGGUUUUCAAAUUUCAAAUUAUUUGUAGUUAUUAUGAUUUCACUGUUAGCACCCGUGUGGGAACUAUCGAAUUCAAAAAACAAGUUCUUAUUUUGUUAUAGAAAUUUUAAUUAAGGGAAAGGAGAAACUUUUUUGUAUUCUUAGUGAGGUUUAUGCUCAUUAUACUAGAUUAUAUUGACAUUCAUCAAUUGAUUACGAUGAAGCCUAUCAUAUAUAAAUGUGCUUAUAUAGGAAAUUUUUGGGUACCAACAUCCCCUUACUUGUGAAUUUCGGAUUAUGUGGAAAUUUAAGUAUAACAGUGACAUAUAGAUGUGCUUAUGUAUGAAAUUUGGGAAACAACAACCUGUUACUCACAUAUUUCGAAUUAUGUGGCUAUUUAAGUGUUAUAUUGAUGCUUUAUUUAAUGAUUUAACCAUAUCUACCAUGCUUUUGUAUGUAUGUGUAUUUUUGUCAUUAUUUCAG
rnacentral:lncRNA from 1 species